rnacentral:tRNA from 1 species
GGGCCCAUGGCUCAACGGUUAGAGCAGUGGACUCAUAAUCCAUUGGUUCGGGGUUCGAAUCCCUGUGGGCCCACCA